GACGUAGGAGGCGAGCGUUGUCCGGAUUCAUUGGGCGUAAAGCGCGUGUAGGCGGUUCGGUAAGUCCGCUGUGAAAGUCGGGGGCUCAACCCUCGGAAGCCGGUGGAUACUGUCGGGCUAGAGUACGGAAGAGGCGAGUGGAAUUCCUGGUGUAGCGGUGAAAUGCGCAGAUAUCAGGAGGAACACCAAUUGCGAAGGCAGCUCGCUGGGACGUUACUGACGCUGAGACGCGAAAGCGUGGGGAGCAAACAGG
rnacentral:rRNA from 1 species